CUGACUGCCACUGGGAAGGGUCUCUCUCUGGAGAUUACUCCUUGUGGGGUUUACUGUGAGCCUACAACACUGGUAUUCCUUGGACUGGUGUGAAGAAAAGCGGCGGUUCCACUGGUCUUGAAGAACAAUGCAAAGCUUUUAAAGUGACCUGCCAAAGAGAGAAAAGAGGAGACGUAUGCUGUAUGAACAAAACAGAUAACGAAUUCAGUGGGCAAUCAUAAGGGUUCAACUCAAUGAAGGAUAGUGGCCACUGAAAGCUCCUCUGUUACACUUCAGUUUGCUCACUUGUUUGGAUAAGGAUGAAGGCAUUGAUGUAUGGUAGAAGGAUGUGGAUUCUGCUUCCAUCUAUGUCAUCAAACAGCUGUGUGUUUUGGGGAUGGUUAUUUCUCUCCACGUGCUGCCGAUUUGUUGCCUACAAAGUGAGAAGCUGGGCUUCACUCUCCUUUGGGGACUACACUGAAACACAGGCAUCAGUUUCUGUAUGAGAUGCACUGAUUUCUACUUUGCAUUUUUUAACGUGAUAAUUUUAAGAAUAUUACUUUUUAAGAGAAAAAUAUAUAGAGGAAAGGAAGGUAAAGGUAGGUUAUACUUUACAGCAGCCAUUCAAGUAUCUGCUCUUCAGGUUUUACCUCCAGCUCACUAUAACUACCUAUAAAAACCUGUGUAAUUUGAAAUUUUUGUUUAUUUCUAAACAACUGAAAUAUAUGCUCCUAAUGUAUAUGUAGCUAUGGCCCAUCUCAGAGUAUUU